UACGUAGGGUGCGAGCGUUAAUCGGAAUUACUGGGCGUAAAGCGUGCGCAGGCGGCUUCGCAAGUCAGACGUGAAAUCCCCGGGCUUAACCUGGGAAUGGCGUUUGAAACUACGGAGCUGGAGUGUGGCAGAGGGAGGUAGAAUUCCACGUGUAGCGGUGAAAUGCGUAGAUAUGUGGAGGAAUACCGAUGGCGAAGGCAGCCUCCUGGGCCAACACUGACGCUCAUGCACGAAAGCGUGGGAGCAAACAGG
rnacentral:rRNA from 1 species